rfam:Desulfosporosinus orientis DSM 765, complete genome.
AAUAAAUUGCGGGGGGACUCUUAGGAGUUGAGAAGGUAAAACCUGACCCUUAGAACCUGUCAGUUAACACUGGCGUAGGGAAGCAGUCCAUUGUCAAUG